GGAUGUGCGUUCUUGUGGGGGGUUUGGGCCCUGUGAUCAGGAGAGAUGACACCGACAUCGCCGGAAUUCGUUCUUGGUCUUGUGCCAUGAUGAAUUGAUGGUCCGUUUGAUGCAGGUGUCAUCUCCCCUGAACAUAGGACUGACUGACCCUGAAUGGAU
rnacentral:miRNA from 1 species